ensembl:lncRNA
AUGCUUCCUACCCUCCUCACCACCAUGCUUUUUACAAUGGGAUCUGAUGCUGUCCCUUUUGCCAUCUUAUCUCCACCAUUUCAUUUGAACACUGAUCUCAACGGCUUGACCAUCCUGGUGUGUGUGGUCCAUGACAUUCAUCGAGGAGAGCUGGAGGUCGCCUGGAUUUCUAGUGGCACCAGAGGAACUAAUCCAGCAGUCUCGAACUUACUCCAAGGACACAUUCAGAGCACAGUGUCUGUUAUAUCUGUGCCCUCGAGUGAAUGGAUGUCCCACACCUGCUUUGUGAGUCACAGAGGCUCCGAUCAACUCGUGCACAGACAUUAUGCUGGAUUCCCAAUGGAGACGACCGGAAUGGCUGACGAUGAAGAAACCUUAUGUGUUUGGACCAUCAAAGCAGUUUUUUGGAAGACGUCCGAGCAAACGAAGAUCUAUUAUUUGUUGAAGCUCUCAUGA